rnacentral:rRNA from 1 species
GCCAGACUCCUACGGGAGGCAGCAGUGAGGAAUAUUGGUCAAUGGGCGGAAGCCUGAACCAGCCAAGUCGCGUGAGGGAAUAAGGCCCUACGGGUCGUAAACCUCUUUUGCCGGGGAGCAAGGGCGGGGACGUGUCCCGGCCCGGAGAGUACCCGGAGAAAAAGCAUCGGCUAACUCCGUGCCAGCAGCCGCGGUAAUACGGAGGAUGCGAGCGUUAUCCGGAUUUAUUGGGUUUAAAGGGUGCGUAGGCGGGCUUUUAAGUCAGCGGUAAAAAUUCGGGGCUCAACCCCGUCCGGCCGUUGAAACUGGGGGCCUUGAGUGGGCGAGAAGAAGGCGGAAUGCGUGGUGUAGCGGUGAAAUGCAUAGAUAUCACGCAGAACCCCGAUUGCGAAGGCAGCAUACCGGUGCACAACUGACGCUCAUGCACGAAAGUGUGGGUAUCGAACAGGAUUAGAUACCCCUGUA